AAGUCGUAACAAGGUCUCCGUAGGUGAACCUGCGGAGGGAUCAUUACACAAAUAUGAAAGCGGGCUGGAACCUCUCGGGGUUACAGCCUUGCUGAAUUAUUCACCCUUGUCUUUUGCGUACUUCUUGUUUCCUUGGUGGGUUCGCCCACCACUAGGACAAACAUAAACCUUUUGUAAUUGCAAUCAGCGUCAGUAACAAAUUAAUAAUUACAACUUUCAACAACGGAUCUCUUGGUUCUG
rnacentral:misc_RNA from 1 species